GUGCUUGCUUCAGCGGCACAUAUACUAAAAUUGGAAUGAUACAGAGAAGAUCAGUAUGGCCCCUGCACAAGAACUAUUGCAUAGAAAGAGGCCCAUAAGCACACAAAUAAUU